rnacentral:lncRNA from 1 species
CUCAGAUAGCAAACAUGCUAAAAACUGUUCUAUUCGUUUUGGUUCUGGCAAUAUCAAUGAUUCAAUGUAAGCAUGGUAAGUGUUUAUUUCUAAUGAUCUUGUGAUAAUAUUAAAUUAAUUUAACAAAUGUUUUUCAACAAAGUGGACAGAGGUUAAAUGAAUUAAUUUGGAAAUCAUAUAAAAUUGAAGAUUCAUGAUUUAUCUAAGUCAAGUAUGUCACGGUUUGAGAUAAAAUGGAAGACAUCUUUAGAAUGUUUAACAUAGGUGCACCAAAUACUACCAAUUUGUGAGACUUUGGAAUUAAAAACAAGAACUUAGUAUAUUAGGUCCGAGACCACAAUUGUCGUCCCUUGAUUUUCGUUGUUCACGAAUAUAGUCCCUAGUGUUGAUAGUGGGUUACUUGCCAUUAAUUUUUAUACCCCUUCCAAAUUUAUUUCUCCAUGUUUAAUGCCAUAAAUUGCAAGUAGGGGGGGGGGGUGAAAUUACACUGUAAAAAAAAAAUUUGGAUCCAGAAUUUUAAAGGAAAGUAGUGAUUUGGUCCAGCUGUAAAAGGUGAAAAAUUAGCACUUCGGAAGCUGUCAAAAGAUUUCAAGACGCCCUUAACAUAAAAUUGUCCAUAUUUUGUGUUAGCCGAUGAAGUUUUCUAUAAUUUUGAUAUAAUUUGUCGCAAAAGUAGUACAACACUGUAAAAAUUCAUUGAGAAAGCGCAGGUGGGAUUUUUUUAAUUUUCAUUUAUGUACGAAAAGAAAUGCACUACGAAAUAAUUGUGGUCUCGGACCGUAUGAUUGUAAUGAGGCAACUCUAUGAGAUAUCAAACGACAAAGAAAUUAAUAAUUAUAGGUCAUCGUACGGUCUUCCAAAAUUAGAAAAGCCCAAAUAUGUUUUUUUAUCAGUUGUUGUUUCUUUUUAUGAUAAAUGGAUCAAUUCUGCAAUUGUAAUGUAUAUGAGUAUGUUUCUAAAAUAUUGUUAAAAGGUCAAAAUGUAAAGCAUAUUGGAGAGAAAGUGUUAUUUUGAUUUUUUUUUUCAAUUUCAAUUCGUCGUGCCAGAACCUAACAGCCUAUGGGUAAUCUGAUUUUUCGUACAUCUAAAUGAAAAUAACAUUGCUUCGUUCUUUUUAUUUCCAUUGUUUAGAAGAAAAAAAUAACCAAUCACAACAUUUUGGUGUAGGCUUUUGAAAUAUUACGAAGACUGCAUUAGAUUCUAAAACGGUGAAUUGAUUUAUUGAGAUUAACUAAUAUAUAUUUUCGUUAAUUUUUUUAUGGGGGGGGGGGGGGAGGGGGAAGAAAACACAAGCACAUUGCAUUAUCUAAAUUUCCAUCAGAAAUGUUAAGCACUGGAUGAUAUUUGAAAUCUAUUGAUCUUGUUUUAGUUUUUGACAUGUGGAUUCGUGUUUUUUUUUUAAUUCGUAUUUUUCUAUUCAAUGAUUUGUAGAUUAUGGAUUGUUGCUUGUUUUUUCGUCAAUUUUCUUCUCGUCGUUAUCUUGACUAUCUACAUAUAUCGCUAGUUAAAACAGUUAGUGCAUUAAACAAGAACGUAUAAUAUUGUACUUGUUAAAAAGAUUUUUCAAACUUAUUGCUUAUUAACUUACAGGAAAACGAAACUUUGCAUGUACCAAACGAGGUGGAUACUGCUCAUACUCGGAUACAUGUCCUUCCUUAGGAGGAGGCGAGGUGGAAAAACUAUCUGUUAGAUGCAAGUGUGGGAAAGCAUGUUGCAAAUGCACUGGUAAGUAACGAAAUUUUUUAAUCAUCGUAGUACUAUUUACCGACCGACAUAACUAUUGUCAAGGUCUUGUCGUUAAUAAAAAUGUCAGACAAAAACCUGUAUACAUACAUGCAAAAUCUAUUAAUUUAGAAGAUAUUCUAUGUCUACCCAAUUUUUUAAAUAUCUUAUAUGAUUGCAAAAUGUCCAGAAAAACUGAGAAAAAAAAACGCUCGACUAAAUCAAUUAACGGAACGACCGGAAAAUAACUGUCAUAUUCCGAACUUGAAAAAUGCAACUAAAAUGUACCAGACAUGAUUUCAAAGCCGCUGUAUGUCAUUGCGCUCGUCACCGAUUAUGAAUUAUUUUAAAGGAUCUCGUCAUUAACAAAAAUACCACUUAAACGGUGUUCCGUAUAGAUACGGAUUGGAUGUUCUAUUUCUUACAACUGAAGAAAACCACGGUGUUUUGAAAUUUGUAUCAUGAUAAGAAGUAGUAUCAAAAUAUUGUAUAACAAUAAAAUAAAAAACCGUCAUAUAUAUUCAAGCAUCAAAGAAACAUGAGUAAUUCGUUGCUCCUAUGUUUUAAGAAGAAGAGAACCGGAAUUAGUUACCCCAAAAAAAUAACUGAGUACAUCUAAGUUCAUGAGUUAGUUUUUUUUUUAUCAAUCCUUUCAUUUGAGUGUAGCUUAAGAUGACUGAUGUUUUUGCUCAAUCUUGUUAUCUUCGUUUUUUUGCCAUUUUGAUAUAUCUAUCUGUUUCUCCGAAAUAUGAAUUUAGAUAUAGUAAUGAUUUGAUUCAUCUCAAAGCAUUCUCUGCUGUGAGAAAUCUUUUCAUCGUGUUCUAUUUUAUUCUUAGACACAUGUCCUGAUGGCUCUACAUGUAUGAGUGAAGGUGAAACCUGUGAUGGAACCAAAGAUGCAAACGGCUGUUGUGGUAACAAAUUUUGUUGUACACCAACUCCGAUAACGACACCUGCACCAUGUAAGUGGUGCUAAUAUGGCUAUAACAACUAAUGAUAAAAAUGUAAAAGAACAUGUUUUAUUAAGUACAAUUGGUCAUGUGUUAAAAUACUAGUAGUCAUACAUAAUAAAUUUCAAAAUAAUUUAUCAAAAAUUAUUUUUUUUAAUUUUUCUCUGAAAAUUCUUGACUAAAACAAUUUUAAUUUAUUGUGGAAAAAUACUAACUUUCUGCUCUUUGAAAAGUUGCAUAGAAAUCAACAUCAGGUGAUCCUUGGUUCUAUGUUAUUAUCACGUAAGGUUGUACGUCUUGAAUUUAUCCCGAAGGAAAUAGAAUUCAGGUCACUCAUGAACCUAGGUCUUUAUUACUGAAAAUGUGUACGUCUCAAAACAUCCCGAAAGAAUUAAAAAGGUUGACGUUAUGCGUCAUACAGUUAUAGUUCGUUUUACAAGUUCCAAAUAUUCAUUAUAAGGUCAUCAUUUAAAGCAAAAAAAAGAUAAUCGUUUGAAAUAAAUGAUUAUGACACUUCUACCCUCAAAUCAGAUAUAUGAAACAAGCAUGCCCUUUCCUAUUCGGGUUUAUUGGAGGAUAAAUGGACUGAUAUUGGUAAAGUUAUAAAUCAUUUAAUAUGUGAUAUGUCCACUGGUUGACUGUGAGGUCCCGAGGGUUACAUCAGACCCUUAACUUAACACUUCUGGACUGCCAUGAUAAUAUGGGUGCGUCUAAACACUGAUAAGGACUCCUUAGUGCACUAAGGACUUAUAACAUGCCAUUAAGGACUACAUGGGUUGCUGUUACAUGUAAUUUCUUUUCAUAUUAUGGUAGAGAUUGAUAUUUAAUGCAUCAAUUUCAAAUUUUAUAGAAAAAUAAUCAUAGAUAAAUAAGAUAUUUAACAUUAUUUAGGCACGUACCUGUUUUUCUUUCAUAUGCCGAAAAUCAAUGAACCGUUUGACACGUGUCAAAUUACAUAACUGAUUACACGGGAAUCCUGCUAUCUGUUGUGUUUAAUCGACAAGAUUGGUAAAGUUGGAUACUAAUAAGUGAAAUGUUGGUGAAAAUUUAUUAAUGUUUUAAAUGACGAAGUAUUUUCUCCAAUUGUAUUUUGUAUUUCUUGUAAAUAAUAAAUUUGCCACCAGAGCAACAUAUCUAAUGUCGGGUUUUAUAUUAUACAGUUAUUUAAAUUACAUUUCAUAGAUCAGACAUACAAAUGUUCAAAAUCGCGUCCGUGUUCGAGCAACCAUUGGUAUAUUUGAUUAACAUGGUUUCUUGGCAAGUCUCUGAGGUAAUGUAAUGCUAAACUCAAACAGAGUACUUGUCACUGAUUUUACUUUAAAUGAAGUCAAAAUAGACUUGUCACUGUCUUUCAUUGUCUUGUUUUUUUAAAAAGGCGAUCUUUUUUAUCAGAUGUUUUUUGUAAGCCAACAUUGAUACAACAAUUGGUGGCGCUUAAAGUAUCCAAACAGCAGGUAAUUUCCAUGACUGUACAGUGCUCGUCUUAAGUCGGCAAACUCAAGCUUGACUAGUUCGUGGAGCGUUUUCACAAGUUCUGGUAUACUUUGUGGUUUCCAGAUAAUCGCCUCUUUGGGCAGAGAUUAUCUUAUGCGGUUGCUAUGAUUCAUUUUCAAAAAAUAUAUCAUAUGAAGAAAAAGAAUAUGUUUCAGGACAAAAACGAAUUCCAUAUGAUAAAAAAAUAUUUACUACGUUUAAACAAACUUAUUUACUGCAAGCUGCAUAUAAACAGACGUUUUUGGACAAAGUUUAUAUCUUUUGCGGUUGCAAUGGUUCAUUUUCUAAAUUUAUUAUCACAUGAAGAACACGUUUGAGCAAUACAUUUCUGGACAAAAAUGAGUUCAAUAUGAUGAUUAUUUUUUUCUACAUGCUGGGACUAUUAUUAUGAUUUAUAGGUUUUUUUUCGGAACUUUACUCAUAUUUUUAGUGAAACCAUUCUUGUAUAAUACAUGCGUCUUUGUCUGAAUUAAAAUAAAAACAAAACGCUUAUAAAUAAUUCUAUUCCUUUUUUUUCUUCGUGUCUCUUACAUAAACAUUUUAACAAGUUGAUCACACUCUAACUUAUUAGUUGGCGCACAUCAAAGUCGUGCACCUAUGGAAAAUAGCUUUGUCGGGAAAUAAAUAAAGCAAAAGCAAACUUAUUUGGCCUUUUAAUCAUUUUAAAUAAGAACAAGACAUUUAAUUAUAAAUAUAAAGCAUAAAUAUUUUCAAUACAAUUGUUAAUUACUUAAAGUAAAAAGAUCAUGAUUGUUUAUGAUAUAUGGCACGUGUCAAUCGUUUCAUUGAUUUUUUGGCAUAUCAAAGAAAAACAUGCACGUGUCUGAAUAAUGUUGAAUAUCUUAUUUAUUUAAAAUUAUUUUUCUAUAAAAUUUGAAAUUGAUGCAUUAAAUAUCAAUCUCUACCAUAAUAUGUAAAAAUAUUGCAUAUAACAUCUCUCCUUCUAGUCCUUAGUAACAAUGUAUACUCCUUAGUGCACUUAGACGUACCGUGAUAAUAUUGAUAUAUUGUUUUAUUGGAAUUUGUCUCUUUCAUUCAAUUUUCUGCAAUUAAUUCUGCAUUUGGUAGUACAGUGAUUAUUUUUCUCAAAUAUAGUAGCUCUCAAAAAAUACAUUUGGAUUGAUGAUUUGCAAAUCUUAUGUACAUAGUUUCAUUGGGAAGAUGUUAUUUGAUAUAAUCCCAAUCAGACGAAACCAUUGAUUUUAUGAGAUUUAGUUGAUAGGAUUCAGAGCACGUCAUCAAAUGUUUUACGGUCGUCAAAGCAAUGCUGUGUGCAAAAAGAAAGAAAGAAAAUACAUGAAAGGGAAAUCAAAAACCUUUGUUUCGUAAAACGAUAGAUAUAGUAUAGAAGAAAAAAACAGUAAAAUUUUGCUGUGCUAAAAAUUUAAUGUUUUUAAUAUUGUAAAUAUAUGUACCUUAGACCAAUAUAUAAUAAUUUUACAGGUGUAAAAAACUGUCCAGUUGAGUGUAAGGAAUCUUGUAAUACGGCCGAAUCAGAAAGCGUAAAUUCUGAGUGCUGCGGAUCGAAAUGUUGUCUGUAAGUUUCAGUUAUUAACACACAUAAUUUGAUUUACGUGCAAACAAUAUAUUAGUAUGUAUUAUAAUCCAUAACAUAUGGAAAUUGAAAUCGAAAUUGGAAGUAUUUACAGAAUAGUGAUAUAUUAGGUACAGUCAAUUUAACGGAUGACCCAAACAUUGAGAUAAGGGGAGCAAAUUCCAUAUGUUAAAUUUAGUUUAGAUAAUAGCAUAUCUCUUUGAACACGAAAUAAGGCUGCAAUGAUAAAGGAGAAAUUUGCAGCAUAUCACGAAUUAAUUGUUAAAAUAUGUAAUGAACAAUUUGAAGGCAUCAAAUACAAAGUUAUUAUUGUAGCUCAUUCGAUGGUUAGCCACAAUAUGUAUCCAAUAUGACGUCUGAUAUUGUUCUCAAGUUCUGUGUUGACCUUGCAUUUCAGUUCGGGAUACGUGUAAGAAAUGGAACAAGUAGCGAUAUUUUGAAGUUAUUUUAAAACGGUUCAAAUAUAGAUUCCACAACUGCAACAAGUGUAUUACGAUAUUUCUCCACUCAAGACAGUUAAAGUUUAAUAUUUAAAGCGCACGGUUUGCCGAACUUUUUAUGUAACUAAAAUUUAACUGUUGAGUGGAGAAAUGUCGUAAUACACGAGUUACAGUGGUGAAAUCUGUUUCUCUUAUGAUUUUUAUCUUUCCUUUUCAAAGAUUUGAGGAAAGCUGUGUAGCUUUGAUGUGACCUCAUCAUGCAUGUCCGCCUUUUAUCAUGACGUCACAAUAAGAAAAUUCAGAAGAAAACAAGCAAAUUUAAGGUCACAGUUAAAUUUCAACCAAUUAUUUGCUGAGAACAGAUUUUUCACUUUUGAGGAGAAAUAUUUUUCUCACACUGGUCAGGAAAUGUAAAAAUAGAACAAACUUUAGAGAAAGAUGAAUAAUCAUAAGGAAUACUUGAACAGAUUAAGAAUAUAAUCCAAAUAAAUUAUAUUUAUUGAGGAACGAGGUAACAAAGUAGUAACAAAUCUUUUUUAUUAUUUCAGCUCAUUAAAUGGUUAGCCACGAUAUGUAUUGUUGGGUAAAGACUCUGUUCUGAGGCUUGAAGCCAACAGAAGUCAAAUUUAUUUGAAAAUAUCUAGUUAUAACAAAAUGAUAAAAAAAAA